UACGUAGGGGGCUAGCGUUGUCCGGAAUCAUUGGGCGUAAAGAGCGUGUAGGCGGUCCGGUAAGUCCGCUGUGAAAGUCGGGGGCUCAACCCUGGGAUGCCGGUGGAUACUGUCGGGCUCGAGUCCGGAAGAGGAGUGUGGAAUUCCUGGUGUAGCGGUGAAAUGCGCAGAUAUCAGGAGGAACACCAAUGGCGAAGGCAGCCCUCUGGGACGUGACUGACGCUGAGACGCGAAAGCGUGGGGAGCAAACAGG
rnacentral:rRNA from 1 species